rnacentral:rRNA from 1 species
GAUGAACGCUAGCGGGAGGCUUAACACAUGCAAGUCGUGGGGCAGCACGAGGUAGCAAUACUUUGGUGGCGACCGGCGCACGGGUGAGUAACGCGUAUGCAACCUACCCUGUACAGGGGGAUAACCCGGAGAAAUUCGGACUAAUACCCCAUAAAGAUAUUUAGAGGCAUCUUUGAAUAUUUAAAGUUCCGGCGGUACGGGAUGGGCAUGCGUAACAUUAGCUAGUUGGUAAGGUAACGGCUUACCAAGGCAACGAUGUUUAGGGGUCCUGAGAGGGUGAUCCACCACACUGGUACUGAGACACGGACCAGACUCCUACGGGAGGCAGCAGUGAGGAAUAUUGGUCAAUGGGCGCAAGCCUGAACCAGCCAUCCCGCGUGAAGGAAGAAUGCGCUAUGCGUUGUAAACUUCUUUUCCAGGGGAAUAAAAUUUUGUACGUGUACGGAAUUGAAGGUACCCUGGGAAUAAGCAUCGGCUAACUCCGUGCCAGCCGCCGCGGUAAAAC